AACGCACCUUGCGCUCCUUGGUAUUCCGAGGAGCAUGCCUGUUUGAGUGUCAUUAAAUUCUCAACCUUAUCAGCUUUUACAAGUUUGGUAAUGGAUUGGAUGUGGGGGUUCUUUUGCUGGCUUCGACAAGAGGUCUGCUCCCCUUAAAUGUAUUAGCUGGUGCCCUACGUGGAACCAUCUAUUGGUGUGAUAAUUAUCUACGCCGUGGAUGUCCACUUUUAAUGGGAGUGCUGCUUCUAACAGUCCAUUUACUUGGACAAUAUAUGACAAUUUGACCUCAAAUCAGGUAGGACUACCCGCUGAACUUAA
rnacentral:misc_RNA from 1 species